AAGUCGAGCGCGAAAGCCGGUUUCGGCCGGCGAGUAGAGCGGCGCACGGGUGAGUAACACGUAGACAACCUGCCUUCCAGCCUGGGAUAACCCCGCGAAAGCGGGGCUAAUACCGGAUCACAACAGGGGCCGCAUGGUUUCUGUUUGAAAGGCUUGCCACUGGAAGAGGGGUCUGCGCGGCAUUAGCUAGUUGGUGGGGUAACGGCCCACCAAGGCGACGAUGCCUAGCGGGUCUGAGAGGAUGAUCCGCCACACUGGAACUGAGACACGGUCCAGACUCCUACGGGAGGCAGCAGUGGGGAAUUUUGCGCAAUGGGCGAAAGCCUGACGCAGCAACGCCGCGUGAGUGAAGAAGGCCUUUGGGUCGUAAAGCUCUUUUCUGGGGGACGAGGCUGACGGUACUCCAGGAAUAAGCACCGGCCAACUCUGUGCCAGCAGCCGCGGUAAUACAGAGGGUGCAAGCGUUGUUCGGAUUUACUGGGCGUAAAGGGCGUGUAGGCGGGUGUGCAAGCCGAUGGUGAAAUCCCCGGGCUCAACCCUGGGUGGUCUGUCGGAACUGCACGUCUGGAGAGGGCCAGAGGCAGGUGGAAUUCCAGGUGUA
rnacentral:rRNA from 1 species